ensembl:lncRNA
AUGGCUCCUGGGGACUCCAGCUGCCUCUGCCUCCUGCAAGUGGCGCUGGGUGACCUCAGGCCCAGCCCCACCCACCCCGGGCUGCAAACCCAGAGGCCACUGUGCUGCCAAGGGCAAGGACCUCCCCUGUGCUCUCUGGGGAGGAGACAUCCAGUGGCUACCCUCAGCUGCAACUUGGUGUCUGUGGGACCACAUCAUGAUGGAAUCUGCAAGCAGAACUUAGCCCAAGGCCUCUGCUCCAGGUCGCCUGGGGCAGUUGCAAGCGACCCUCUAAACCGACCCAAGGGCUCAGGCGAGAUGUGGCCCUGCCACGUGCUCCUUGAGACCUUCACGUCAGAAGAGCCUUCAGCAGCCCUGGCCACUGACCACCCCCCCGACCGAUGUCGCUGGGCCAUAAACCCCAACGGGCCCCCCAGCUGGCAAACAGCAGCCUGGGAAGGAGAGUCCCAACUUCCCCCGGGGUCCCAGCUGGGCCGGAUCCAAGCGCCACACCUGCACACCACAGCGGGCCCUUCCCACAGGCCCUCAAAGGUUCUGAGACUGAGAAGAGGCAGCAGCAUCAAGCCCUGGGAAGAGGCUGCAAAGCUGUCCCCACUCUUACUGUCUGCUGGCUGUGGUCACCAGCCGGGGAGAGGCCACCCAUGCCCUUGAGGGUGGCCGGUCCCUUCCUCCCAGCCGUGCAGUUCCAGAGCCUGAAGAAAUCAACCCCGAGCCCCGGGCUCCCACUUCUGGACAAAGCAGAGGAAGGGGUCACAUCCCUGGAACAGUGACUUGCUAUCUGGGCCCUGGACGCCAACAUGUGAGACCCCGAGGGAAGGCCUCGAUCACCUAGGACACGACAUGGCCAGGGGCCCCACCUGGUACGUGACCCCCCGACCUGUCCUGACACAGAUCAGGAUCAGAAUUUUAUCCAGAAAGGUCAAGCAAGCUGUUUUAUUAAAAUACUAGAGGCGGGCAUCAACUUUCAGCAACAUUUUGUAAACACGUGAAAUGCAGAUUGAUUUCAGUAGUUUAUUUUGGAGACAAAGCAGUGCAAGAGGCUGGCCACAUGCCUUCCCGCUUCCCCGGGGCUCGGGUUAGGCUGGGAAAGGCCAUGUCCAGACAUUAUAAUCGGGGUUCAACACUCAAGUCGUGUAAACACGGUGGUCGGCAGGCCCUCGGGUUCUAGGACAGCCGGGCAGUGCCGACGGUGUCCGCCUCUCACGCCAGCCGCUCCUUCCCGGCGUGAUCCCCACGUCCCUGCUGACCAGGCCUGAAGGUGCCUCCGAGUGCCCAGCCCAGCUGCCUACUCCUCUUUCCCAGGGUCAACUGAAAGCUGAAGACACAGACCACGCUCGGGGAUCCCAUGCAUCCCGCCAGGGAGGCGCACUGUCCGAGGACUGGCCGAGCCCCUCACGGGUCCCCUUCUCUGCAAAGGGGGCUGCCGGCCAGCCUGGACCGUGGGAUCCGGCUGGUCAGCCGGUGGUCUGUCUGCUGCCAUCAAGGGUCAGGGUGACUCCAGUGGCGGCUGGGGUAACGUGUCUUCUCCCAUCUGGGCUGCAGCCCCCUUGCACCCAGCUGGCUUGGUGCUCGGGGCUGGCAGUGAACACGGAGGGGUGGAGCGACGGGCAGCCUCCUCCUGCCUGGGAAGAGGGCUCCCAACUGCCUCGAU